GUAGGUGAACCUGCGGAAGGAUCAUUAACACGUAUCCACGUUUAUAACCCGAGAACUCUUAGGUAGCUUAUUCAAGAAAAGCUUCAUGAGAGCUCAAAACCCUUUCGGGGGCUUUGGGACCUGAUGAAGUCUGCCCUAUUCUCGGCUUAGCGGCUGAGUUAGGGCUAUUGAAUCAGCUCCUUCGAACUCCUUCAGGGACAAAUCUUCGGAGGCGUCCCUGAAGGCUACUUGAAACCCCUUUUUUCUAAACUAAAGGCCGUCCCUUUGUGGACCGCUUUUAACCGAAUGCUGUACAACUCUUAGCAACGGAUAUCUUGGUUCUG
rnacentral:misc_RNA from 1 species